rnacentral:lncRNA from 1 species
AGAUAGGAGUCAGGGCGCCUGGCCCGCAGGACACUAGAGAUCUGCGGAGGAGAAGGGAUGAGUCUGCCAGGCCCACCAGCCUGGCCCCCAGACCCUCCCCACCCCACACACGCAGACACGUCUUACAAGUCCUGUGAGAUAGGGGCUGCCAGCGUCUCCCAGGAUGUGGCCCACCGUGAUCUGAAGUGCCUCUGCCGUCCCCCGGCAUCUGGGCACCACCACAGACUGCAAAACAUAGGCACAGCAGGGGGGCACCCCAAGUGAGGGCACCCUUGCCUGCUGUUCCCCACCUGCCAAGGACCUGCCUGGAGGAGUGACAGGCCAUUCAGGUGAGUGGGAUGGGAGGGAGUCGACGGUCCCCAAGGUCUAAAGUCCCACCCCAGAACAUCAAGACAUCAAGCCCAUCUGAAGCUUCCCCAGUGCCCCAGGAUGGGGGUGCCAAGGCCCCUGAUCAGGGCCACCCCUCUUGAGAGUUUGCUCUUGAACUGGGAAGGAACCAGGCAUGCAUGUGACCACAGUGAAUGAGGCUGGGGUGUCCCAGCUCAGGGGCCCAGGAUGCAGCAGCACAAGCGGGCAGGGCGAAGAGCGGGUGCAUGCCAGGUGUCUGCAUGUGCAGGCAAUUGGGCAGGGGUGGUACGGAGGGCUCAGUCCUCUCAGGAACCUCAAGGCCCCUGGGGCAGAGACCAAAGGCGGCCUUGCUGGAGAAGCCCGCACGACUCCACGGACAAGGCUGAGAACAUAAAGAAGAUGAACUCUGGGCCAGGCGCGGUGGCUCACGUCUGUAAUCCCAGCACUUUGGGAGGCCAAGGCGGGUGGAUCACCCGAGGUCAGGAGGUCAAGACCAGCCUGGCAACAUGGUGAAACCCUGUCUCUACUAAAAAUACAAAAACUAGCCGGCGUGGUGGCACAUGCCUGUAAUCCCAGCUACUCGGGAGGUUGAGGCAGGAGAAUUGCUUGAACACGGGAGGCGGAGGUUGCAGUGAGCUGAGAUCGUACCACUGCAAUCCAACCUGGGCAACAAGAGCAAAAUCCCAUCUCAAAAAAAAAAAAAAUAAAAAAAAUAAAGAACUCUGGUGUCACACACUCAGGUUCCGAUCCAGAUCCCCACUCGCUAGCUGUGUGACUUUGAGCAAACUGUUUCACCUUUCUUCCCUCAGUCUCUCCAUCCCCAAGUGGGGGUAAUAAUGGUACUGAUCUUGAGAGUUUUAUUCAUUAUCGUUAUUCGUCUGCUACCUGGAGGCUUCGUGUGGACAUCAGACCAAAAUAACGCUCUGAGACAGGAUGCUCCAGGCCCUUGAACUCAGCUGCGCCUUCUGCCUGGCGUGCCUUCCACUCUCUGGUCCAGCUGGAGCAUCUAUAUUUGUCAUUUAGGACUUACGUUUCGGUCAUCUCCUCUGUGAAGCCCUCUCAGAGUUCAGGUACCUGCCCUGAGCUCCCGCAACUCCUAUGCACACCCCUAAUUAACGCAUGUCUCCCAGAACUGGGAGGGGCCCUUUCUCUGUCCACCACCCCUUAUUCCCUAUGUUGUGUGGGCAACAAAGACCCUUAAUUUCUCUUGGGGUCCCUGCAAGACACCAGGCACAGAGGGGACUAGCUGAAAGUUUGCCAACCAAAUAACUCAAGUAGGUCCAUCUGGGAGACUAUUCCCAGGAGAAAGUCUGCCAGAACCCAGGGCUACAGCAGGGGAUGGAAGGAGGGAGGGGGAGGGGACUCAAGCAGAGACCACAUGGUCACAUGAACCCAACUGGACAGCCACAGGGGCGCUUACACCCUGGAGCCGUAUCCCCAAGACCUAGGUGUCCAUGAUCUGAGGCCUUGAGUUAAUCAAUAUUAGCUGGGCACAGUGGCUCACACCUGUAAUCCCAGCACUUUGGGAGACUGAGGCAGGUGGAUCACUUGAGGUCAGGAGUUCAAGACCAGCCUGGCCAACAUGGCGAAAUCCCAUCUCUACUAAAAAUACAAAAAUUAGCUGGGUGUGGUGGCGCGUGCCUAUAAUCCCAGCUACUCAGGAGGCUGAGGCAGGAGAAUCGCUUGAACCCGGGAGGUGGAGGUUCUAGUGAGCCGAGGUGGCACCACUAUACUCCAGCCUGAGUGAAAGAGCAAGAUCCUGUCUCAAAAAAUAAUAAUAAAAUAAUAAUAAUUGCCAACAUUUAUUGAAUGCUUGCUGUAUACAUUUUAUAUAUCAACUUGAACAACCCAUGAGAGGGAGAUGAUGAUCACCUGCAUUUUUACAGAUGAGGAAAACCUCCACAGGGAGGGCAAGUGACUUGCCCAACAUCACCCAGCCUGAAAUAACAGGGCUGAGAGAGGAUUGCAGGCCUUCUCCCUCUAGGAUCUGGCCUUUUGACCACUCUGCUGUGAUGGGCAAGGAGGAGCCGGUGUUUCUAGCAAUAUUUAUGCAUUUGUAAUAGAACAUUCAGAAAUCUGAGAAAGAUGAGGAGGACAAGUUCAUCACUAGCCCUGUAAACGGAUGGCAGAGUAACUGGCAAAGAGACGGGGAAAGGCAUUCCAGGCAGGGGACAGUGUAAGCGACGGUGUGGAGGGAGGAUCCCAGGGACACGAUCUCUGGAUUCCAGAAUCCCAGGGGACAGAUGCAGGGGGUUUGGUGGUGGGCAGGGCAGAGUGGCAGGAGGCACUGUAGUGACUCGCUGGUCCCAGGGUCACUGGGACUGAGCCACCAUGUACAGGUGGCAAGAGAAACCGGGCCUCUUGCCAUCACCAGGAUCUGUCAACAGGCCUGAGAAGGAACUGACCAACAGCUUUGCACCUUCCCCAAGGACUUCCUUCUCACCCCAUAAUUAUGUGAUUACUCACUGGUGGCUCUGGGAAGGCAGGUGAGGCUUCCUGGAGGGAGGAACCUGAAUGUUCAGAAAGGUCCACAUGGAGGCUGGGGCUGCUGGGACCCCCACAGUUAGGUCCAGAAACCCCCCGAGAGGCAGGGGCUGCCCGAGGUAUGCAGAACGAGCUCCCCAUUGGAGGCGUAUGUCAACAAGGGGAUGGCUAGAAUUUGGCAAAGCAUUUAUGGACUGGGGAGCUUGCGGCGUGAGACCAGUGUUCUCAAAGCGUGCUCUACGGAAUGCUACGGCAGGAUCACUUGGGAAGUUCAUCAGAAAUGCAGGUCCCUGGACCCCAGCACGGACCCACUGAAUCAGACUCAGAGGACACAGGGCCUGGAAUCUGGGUUUGUCACAAGCUCCCUCAAAUCUGACUCUCAUGCACAAUGACGUCUCCAAGCCACCGGACCGGAGAGCCCCUGAGGUCCCUUCUCCAGAGAUAACCUGGAUUCUCCCCAUUGUGGAGAUGGCAUCAAAGAGAACAGUGUCCUGGACAGGCGCAGUGGCUCACACCUAUAAUCCCAGCAUUCUGGGAGGCCAAGGGGGGCGGAUCAUGAGGUCAAGAGAUCGAGACCAUCCUGGCCAACAUGGUGAACCCCGUCUCUACUAAAAAUACAAAAAUUAGCUGGGCGUGGUGGCGCAUGCCUGUAGUCCCAGC